rnacentral:lncRNA from 1 species
UCGGUAGAAUAGCUGUUUCCUUCUGCAUGUUGUCAGUUUUGUUUAGCUGCCGAAUGACCUGGUUUCAGAUCGUGGGAUGGCGCGGUCAGUAGCCGAUCCGGGUUGCUCGUUCCGUUCAGUUGUGCAUGUAACAAACUCCGUUUUGGUGGAGGAGAAUAAAGAGUGAAAACAGAAAAGCAGCAGAAGUUGCGCUGCACAAAAAUUCUACUUUGUUCUUCAGUUCUUGACGUUUCCCGAACUUCUUAAGGUUACUGUCGUUGUCCGGCAAUUUUCAGAGUGAGCGAGUGUGAGCGAUUUCAGAGUUUGUUCUUUCCGUUUUGCUGACAAUUGGUAUCAGAGCGGUACCACGACGGUCCUGAGACGAUGUCUGAUGAUGGUGGGCGAUACACACCGCCCGGACGCCGUGGUGGCGGUGGCGGCGGCGGAAGCGGCAGCGGGCGCGGAGGCGCAAGUGGCAGCGGCGUGGGGGGUGGCGCAGACGGCGCGAACCUUCCUCUCGUGCCACAGGGGAGAGAUGCUGGGCACACUGCUCGCCUCCCGGUGCUGUCGAGGACAAAUUAUCCGGAUUGGGCAUUGUUGAUGCGUGUAAACCUACAGGCGCAGGGGUUGUGGACGGCGAUUGAACCCGGAUACGCGGAGUACCGCGACGAUCGGGCGGCUCUCUCGGCAAUCCUUCAGGCGGUGCCGCGCGAGAUGUUGCGCGGGCUGGAGAAGCAUGACACGGCGAAGGCGGCGUGGGACGCCAUCAAGACCAUGCGGGUCGGCGUUGACCGUGUGCGUGAGGCGAAGGAGCAGGGCUUCCGUCGCCAAUUCGAGGCGAUGCGCUUCAAGGAUGGAGAGACACCGGAGGAGUUCGCGAUGCGACUCACUGCCGUCGUCGCGGACAUUCGCGACAUGGGUGGAGUCAUGGAAGACGAACACAUCAACAAGAAACUGCUGCGCGUUGUGCCCAAGAAGUACAAGCCGGUGGCGAUUUCCCUCGAGCAGCUUCUCGACGUGAAAACGAUGGCCCUUGAGGAGCUCGUUGGGCGGCUGUCGACGGUCGACUCAUACAGUGAUGAUGAGGAGGAAGGUGGCGGCGGCAAGCUCUACCUCACGGAGGAACAGUGGCAGGCACGCGCAAGGAAACAGGAGCAGGAAGGCUCCGGCGGCAGCAGCAAGAGCAGGGGCAGCUCUGGCACCCAGAACAACCGUCGGGGCAAGGCCGGUGGGUCACCGAAGGGGAAGGAGACGAUCAACAGUGGGAACACCAGCCGUGACUACUCCAAGGUAAAAUGUUUCAAUUGUGAUGAGUUUGGGCAUUUUGCAAGGCAGUGCCGCAAGCCGCGGCGCCAACGUCGAGGGGAAGUAAAUCUGACGCAGGGGGAGGAGGAGCCGACCUUGCUCAUGGCUCACGUCAUGGGGGUGUCUCUCGCCGGUGAGGAGACACUCGGGCGAACACCUGGUGUGCACGAGGUGCAUCUCACUGAGAAAAAGGUGAUUCUGGAUCAUGAGGUUGCAGAAGAGGAGGACAACACCACGGAAUGGUUCCUGGAUACCGGGGCCACCAAUCAUAUGACCGGCUCUCGGUCGGCAUUCGCUGACCUCGACACCGGUGUUGUUGGUACUGUGAAGUUUGGUGAUGGCUCAGUUGUGGACAUCAGGGGACGCGGCACCGUGUUGUUCCAGUGCAAGAAUGGAGAUCAUCGCUCGCUAGAGGCAGUGUAUUUCAUCCCCAAGCUGUGCAAGAAUAUCAUCUCCAUCGGCCGGCUUGACGCGCGUGGCUACGAUGCUCACAUAUACCAUGGUGUCUGCACGCUGCGUGAUCCUGAUGGUCUACUGCUUGCCAAGGUAAAGCGCUCCCCAAGCUUUCUGUACAUUCUGAAGUUGAACAUGGCGAGGCCCAUCUGUUUGGCGGCGAAUGGCACCGAGACGGCGUGGCGUUGGCACGCCCGUUUCGGCCACCUCAAUUUCCAGGCCCUCCGAAGAUUGGCGCAAGCGGAGAUGGUCCGUGGACUCCCCGUGAUUGACCACGUCGAUCAACUGUGUGAUGGGUGCCUCGCCGGCAAGCAGCGACGAGUGCCGUUCCCAGACAAAGCCAGGUUCAGGGCGCAGGAUGCGCUCGAGCUGGUUCAUGGCGACCUGUGCGGGCCGAUUGCGCCGGCAACGCCAGGCGGCAGGAAAUAUUUCCUGCUCCUUGUUGAUGACAUGAGCCGUUUCAUGUGGAUACGGCUCCUCUCCGGCAAGCACGAGGCAGCGGCUGCGAUCAAGCAGUUCAAGGCCGGCGUCGAGAUGGAAAGCGGCCGAAAACUGCGGGCGCUGCGCACCGACCGGGGAGGAGAAUUUACCUCUGUCGAGUUCACUGAGUUCUGUGCCGAUCGGGGUGUGAGUCGCCAGCUCACGGCUCCAUACUCGCCGCAACAAAAUGGGGUCGUCGAGAGGCGAAACCUGACUGUCGUCGCUGCUGCUCGCUCUAUGCUCAAGGCGGCGGGGAUGCCGGCACAAUUCUGGGGAGAGGCAGUCGUGGCGGCUGUGUAUCUAUUGAAUCGGUCGCCCACAAAGAGCCUGGAUGGUGUGACGCCAUAUGAAGCGUGGCACGGGCGACGUCCCUCGGUUGAACACCUGAAGGUGUUUGGCUGUGUCGGCUACGUCAAGACAGUGAAGCCAAAUUUGAGGAAACUUGAUGAUCGUGGCACACGAAUGGUGUUCAUUGGUUAUGAGCAGGGCUCAAAAGCCUAUCGGAUGUAUGAUCCGGUGUCACGGCGAUUUUAUGUGUCACGCGACGUCGUCUUUGAUGAGGCGGCAAUGUGGCCAUGGCGUGAUCCGGAGGUCACUCAAACUGGAGGCGAGGAGGAUUUCACUGUGGAGUUUUUUUCCACUCCGCUGGGUGGAAAUCGUGUUCCUGACGUGGUUGUGGAACAUGGAGGCGCACGGGAAACUGAAACUGCACCAAGUCCGCUGGCCACGCCCGACGCGGCGCCCGUGUGGUCUCCAGUGACAUCAAGCUCACCUGCCGGUGUUGAGUUCUGUACACCACCAUCUGAUGCCAGUAUUGAAAGCGAUGGAGCUCCUCCCCGUUUUCGGACGGUGAACAAUGUGCUGGCCACCACAACUCCGGUGCUCGAUUUCGACUACGACGACGAGUGUCUCAUAGCGGAGCAGGAGCCUUUCAGUUUCAAGGAAGCUGAGAAGGAGCAGUGCUGGAUGAAGGCGAUGGAAGAGGAGAUGAGCUCCAUUGAAGGUAACAAUACUUGGUUCCUCUGUGACUUACCAUCUGACCAUAGGGCAAUUGGUCUCAAAUGGGUUUACAAGAUCAAGAGAAGUGCCGAAGGUGAGAUAUUGAAGUACAAAGCAAGAUUGGUGGCAAAGGGGUAUGUUCAGCAACAAGGCAUAGAUUAUGAAGAAGUAUUUGCUCCAGUAGCAAGGAUGGAAACUGUGAGGUUGCUGGUUGCUUUGGCAGCACAUGAGGGUUGGCAAAUACAUCACAUGGAUGUGAAGUCAGCUUUUCUCAAUGGUGAAUUGGAGGAAGAUGUGUAUGUAGUCCAACCACCUGGUUUUGUUGUUGAGCACAAGGAGAACAAAGUACUGAAGUUAAAAAAGGCCCUAUAUGGUUUAAAGCAGGCGCCAAGAGCUUGGUAUGCAAAGCUGGAUUCUACACUUGCAAAUCUGGAUUUUGUAAGAAGUGCAACAGAGAAUGCAGUGUACACUAGAGGGGAAGGUAAUGCCAGACUCGUGGUGGGGGUAUAUGUUGAUGAUCUUAUCAUUACAGGAGCUUUGGGGACAGAAAUAGCAAAAUUCAAGGAGCAGAUGAGAAGUAUGUUUAGUAUGAGUGAUCUUGGAUUACUGUCCUAUUACCUGGGAAUGGAGGUUAAACAGACUGAAGAAGGCAUUACAAUGUCCCAAGCUGGGUAUGCAGGAAGAAUUUUAGAGAAGGCUGGGAUGCAAGGUUGCAAUCCUUGUCAGGUUCCUAUGGAUGCUAGACUGAAGCUGAAAAAAGGAGUAGAAGAUUGCAUUGAUGCAACACAGUUUAGAAGCAUUAUAGGAAGCCUGAGGUAUUUGGUUAAUACAAGGCCUGAUCUAUCCUACUCUGUUGGAUAUGUUAGUAGAUACAUGGAGAAUCCAGGUGCUGAACAUUGGGCUGCCAUGAAACAUAUUUUGCGCUAUGUGGCAGGAAGUCUGAAUAUUGGUCUCAAGUUCAGAAAGGGAGAAGAGAAAUUUCCUCGGCUAGUUGGCUAUAGUGAUAGUGAUAUGGCUGGGGAUGUGGAUGAUAGAAAGAGUACAACAGGGGUGUUGUUUAAGCUGGGAGAAAACUUAAUCACAUGGCAGUCUCAGAAGCAAAAAAUAGUUGCAUUAUCAUCUUGUGAAGCUGAGUAUAUUGCUGCUACAACUGCUGCCUGUCAGGGGAUUUGGUUAGCACGUUUGCUGGGAGAACUGCAAAUGAAGAAGCCCUGUUGUGCCAUGUUAAAAGUUGACAACAAAUCUGCAAUCAAUCUCUGCAAGAAUCCUGUACUUCACGAUAGAAGCAAACACAUUGAUACAAGAUAUCAUUUCAUCCGUGAGAGGGUUGAAAGAAAGGAGGUCGAAGUGGAGUACACAAGUUCAGCAGAACAACUUGCAGACAUACUGACAAAGCCUCUUGGCAAGGUCCGAUUUCUGGAGCUGAGGGGAAAGCUGGGUUUGUCUCCAGUGUGAUGCGUCAAGAUUAGGGGGAGAAAUUGUUGGAUAUUUUGUAAUCUUGAGCAUUUUAUAUUUCUGUUUUGCAUGAACGUAGUGGCUGGCUGAAGGUUGUUUUGGCCGGUCGGUAGAAUAGCUGUUUCCUUCUGCAUGUUGUCAGUUUUGUUUAGCUGCCGAAUGACCUGGUUUCAGAUCGUGGGAUGGCGCGGUCAGUAGCCGAUCCGGGUUGCUCGUUCCGUUCAGUUGUGCAUGUAACAAACUCCGUUUUGGUGGAGGAGAAUAAAGAGUGAAAACAGAAAAGCAGCAGAAGUUGCGCUGCACAAAAAUUCUACUUUGUUCUUCAGUUCUUGACGUUUCCCGAACUUCUUAAGGUUACUGUCGUUGUCCGGCAAUUUUCAGAGUGAGCGAGUGUGAGCGAUUUCAGAGUUUGUUCUUUCCG